GGGGCUGUAGCUCAGUGAUAGAGUGUUCACCUCACUCGUGCGAGACCCUGGGUUCGAUCCUCAGCACCACG
rnacentral:tRNA from 1 species